rnacentral:tRNA from 1 species
GGCAUGGUGGUGUAGUGGUUAGCACUCUGAGCUCACAGCAGGGAGGCCCUGGUUUGAAUCCCGGCUGUGUCA